rnacentral:lncRNA from 1 species
AUUUUAAUAUAUUUAAUAUAUAAAAUAUAAAUAUAAUUUAAUAUUUUAAUAUAUUUAAUAUAUAAAUAUAAUUUAAAUAAAUAUCUAUAACUGUGAUAAUACAUAAAUAAUAAAUAAAUAUAAUUUAUAAAUAUAUAUAGAACCGACACGAAAAUAAUAAAUAAUUAAUAAAAUAAGAAAUAAAUAAUGAAAUAUAGUAAUAAAUACAAAAUAUAGUAAUAACUAAAAAAUAUAGUAAUGAAUAAAUCAUACAAUAUAAUAAAUAAUACAAUAUUAACAAUAUUAAAAUUAACAACAAUAUUAAAAUUAACAAUAUUAAAAUAAUCAUUAUGCACGAAUAGAAAAUAAAAAAAAAAUAGUUAGUGAUAUUAAAAAUCUAAUUCCUAAUCAAUGAAAAUCCAACUCCUAAUCAUUCGAAGACUGUAAACUAAAAAUCAUUCGAAGACGGUAAACUAAAAAAAUAAAUAAUUGACUCGAGAAUAAAGAAAAAAAUUAUUAAAAAAAUAAGAACUAAAUAAAAAAUAGAAUAAAAAAAAUAAAAGAAUAUUGAUACAAUCAUAUACCAGGUUAAAAAGGUUAAAAAUUUAUUAACGUGCAUAUAGAAUAAUUUAAAACUAAAAAACUUCACUUUAAAAAGAAAGCGUGGAAUAGACAAGGAAAUACAAAUAUAGACUAAUAUAUAAAUAAAAUAUUUGUUAUAUAUUAGUUAUAUAUUAUAUCUAACUAAUUAUAUACUUAAUAUUACUUAAUAUAUUAUAUAAUAUAUAUUAUUAUACCUGAAUACCUAAUGUCCUAUUUUCU